rnacentral:rRNA from 1 species
CACCGCCCGUCACAUGACGAAAGUUGGUAUUAUCCGAAGUCACCAGGCUAACCGCAAGGAAGCAAGUGCCGAAGGUAGUGCCGAUGAUUGGCGUG